AGAUUUAAUACACAUGGAUUUAGCAUUUGAUCAAAUGGCCAUAAUACAUUCACAUUCUCUAUUUAAGAAAACAAUGAUCAACACCUCUCACAUUGUCUUUCUCCUCUUCUAUGUUAACCGAACCUCCCUCCUCCACUCUUCAUGUUUUUCUUCUUCUUGCAUUUUACAUAUAUACCUUGUGAGAUUUGAAUGAUCUUUUAGAGAGUUUUAGUAGAUCAAUUUAAGAGAUGAUUAAAGAAAAGAUUAAAGCUUGAGGUUGAAAGUGUGAACUGGAUAGACACCUCGUCGAGAGAGACAUACCGUUCUCAUGUAGCGUAAGUUGAAUGUGUUUGACGCAUGCUAAGGCUGUUAGCAAUUGGGGAUAGUUAAGGUAUCCUGGUGUCGUGAAGACUUGCAAGAUGUGAAUGUCUUUGGCUAGGAGUUCAAGAUCAGCUUAGGGUUUUGUUUCAGAGUGUUGUCUGUGUUUGUUUGGGAAGUUUGUUGUUAAAGCUGGAUGCUUAAUUUGUGUGUGUGGUUUUGACCUUUACUUGUUGUCAAAUACUCUGUACGCAAUUAUAUUCAAGUGGUCAAAUAUUUUAUGACCUUGGGCAUUGCGCUGGGCCUAUUUAUGGAAAAGACUUAGACCAAA